rnacentral:rRNA from 1 species
GGUCAAGCGAACAAGUGCAUGUGGUGGAUGCCUUGGCGAUCACAGGCGAUGAAGGACGCGGUAGCCUGCGAAAAGCUACGGGGAGCUGGCAAACGAGCUUUGAUCCGUAGAUGUCCGAAUGGGGAAACCCACUCCUUUUGGAGUAUCCAUGGCUGAAUACAUAGGCCAUGUGAAGCGAACGCGGUGAACUGAAACAUCUAAGUAACCGCAGGAAAAGAAAUCAACCGAGAUUCCCAAAGUAGUGGCGAGCGAAAUGGGAUGAGCCUUGCACUCUUUAUUUGUAUUGUUAGCCGAACGCUCUGGAAAGUGCGGCCAUAGCAGGUGAUAGCCCUGUAGGCGAAAACAGUAUGAAAGAACUAGGUGUGCGACAAGUAGGGCGGGACACGUGAAAUCCUGUCUGAAGAUGGGGGGACCAUCCUCCAAGGCUAAAUACUCGUGAUCGACCGAUAGUGAACCAGUACCGUGAGGGAAAGGCGAAAAGAACCCCGGGAGGGGAGUGAAAUAGAUCCUGAAACCGCAUGCAUACAAACAGUCGGAGCCUCGCAAGGGGUGACGGCGUACCUUUUGUAUAAUGGGUCAGCGACUUACGUUCAGUAGCAAGCUUAACCGUAUAGGGCAGGCGUAGCGAAAGCGAGUCCGAAUAGGGCGUUCAGUUGCUGGGCGUAGACCCGAAACCAAGUGAUCUAUCCAUGGCCAGGAUGAAGGUGCGGUAACACGUACUGGAGGUCCGAACCCACUAACGUUGAAAAGUUAGGGGAUGAGCUGUGGAUAGGGGUGAAAGGCUAAACAAACUUGGAAAUAGCUGGUUCUCUCCGAAAACUAUUUAGGUAGUGCCUCGUGUCUCACCUUCGGGGGUAGAGCACUGUCAUGGUUGGGGGGUCUAUUGCAGAUUACCCCGCCAUAGCAAACUCCGAAUACCGAAGAGUGCAAUCACGGGAGACAGACAUCGGGUGCUAACGUCCGGUGUCAAGAGGGAAACAACCCAGACCGCCAGCUAAGGUCCCCAAAUAUAGCUAAGUGGGAAACGAAGUGGGAAGGCUAAAACAGUCAGGAGGUUGGCUUAGAAGCAGCCACCCUUUAAAGAAAGCGUAAUAGCUCACUGAUCGAGUCGUCCUGCGCGGAAGAUGUAACGGGGCUAAGCUAUAUACCGAAGCUGCGGAUGCGUGCUUUGCACGCAUGGUAGGAGAGCGUUCCGUAAGCCUGCGAAGGUGCGUUGAAAAGCGUGCUGGAGGUAUCGGAAGUGCGAAUGCUGACAUGAGUAGCGAUAAAGGGGGUGAAAGGCCCCCUCGCCGUAAGCCCAAGGUUUCCUACGCAACGUUCAUCGGCGUAGGGUGAGUCGGCCCCUAAGGCGAGGCAGAAAUGCGUAGCUGAUGGGAAGCAGGUCAAUAUUCCUGCACCAUUGUUAGAUGCGAUGGGGGGACGGAUCGCGGAAGGUUGUCCGGGUGUUGGAAGUCCCGGUCGCUGCAUUGGAGAAGGCGCUUAGGCAAAUCCGGGCGCGCAAUUCAAGGGUGUGGCGCGAGCUCCUUAGGGAGCGAAGCAAUUGGAAGUGGUUCCAAGAAAAGCCUCUAAGCUUCAGUCUAACGAUGACCGUACCGCAAACCGACACAGGUGGGCGAGAUGAGUAUUCUAAGGCGCUUGAGAGAACUCGGGAGAAGGAACUCGGCAAAUUGGUACCGUAACUUCGGGAUAAGGUACGCCCUUGUAGCUUGACUGGCCUGCGCCAGGAGGGUGAAGGGGUUGCAAUAAACUGGUGGCUGCGACUGUUUAAUAAAAACACAGCACUCUGCAAACACGAAAGUGGACGUAUAGGGUGUGACGCCUGCCCGGUGCCGGAAGAUUAAAUGAUGGGGUGCAAGCUCUUGAUUGAAGUCCCGGUAAACGGCGGCCGUAACUAUAACGGUCCUAAGGUAGCGAAAUUCCUUGUCGGGUAAGUUCCGACCUGCACGAAUGGCGUAACGAUGGCCACACUGUCUCCUCCCGAGACUCAGCGAAGUUGAAGUGUUUGUGAUGAUGCAAUCUACCCGCGGCUAGACGGAAAGACCCCAUGAACCUUUACUGUAGCUUUGCAUUGGACUUUGAACCGAUCUGUGUAGGAUAGGUGGGAGGCUAUGAAACCGGAACGCUAGUUUCGGUGGAGCCGUCCUUGAAAUACCACCCUGGUUUGUUUGAGGUUCUAACCUUGGCCCGUGAUCCGGGUCGGGGACAGUGCAUGGUAGGCAGUUUGACUGGGGCGGUCUCCUCCCAAAGCGUAACGGAGGAGUACGAAGGUACGCUAGGUACGGUCGGAAAUCGUGCUGAUAGUGCAAUGGCAUAAGCGUGCUUAACUGCGAGACCGACAAGUCGAGCAGGUGCGAAAGCAGGUCAUAGUGAUCCGGUGGUUCUGUAUGGAAGGGCCAUCGCUCAACGGAUAAAAGGUACUCUGGGGAUAACAGGCUGAUACCGCCCAAGAGUUCAUAUCGACGGCGGUGUUUGGCACCUCGAUGUCGGCUCAUCUCAUCCUGGGGCUGUAGCCGGUCCCAAGGGUAUGGCUGUUCGCCAUUUAAAGAGGUACGUGAGCUGGGUUUAAAACGUCGUGAGACAGUUUGGUCCCUAUCUGCCGUGGGCGUUGGAUAUUUGAAGGGGGCUGCUCCUAGUACGAGAGGACCGGAGUGGACGAACCUCUGGUGUACCGGUUGUCACGCCAGUGGCAUCGCCGGGUAGCUAUGUUCGGAAGAGAUAACCGCUGAAAGCAUCUAAGCGGGAAACUCGCCUUAAGAUGAGAUAUCCCUGGGGACUAGAUCCCCUUGAAGGGUCGUUCGAGACCAGGACGUUGAUAGGUCAGGUGUGUAAGCGCAGUAAUGCGUUCAGCUAACUGAUACUAAUUGCCCGUAAGGCUUGAUCCU